UGGGGAAUAUUGGACAAUGGGCGCAAGCCUGAUCCAGCCAUGCCGCGUGUGUGAUGAAGGCCUUAGGGUUGUAAAGCACUUUCGCCGAUGAAGAUAAUGACUGUAGUCGGAGAAGAAGCCCCGGCUAACUUCGUGCCAGCAGCCGCGGUAAUACGAAGGGGGCAAGCGUUGUUCGGAUUUACUGGGCGUAAAGCGUACGUAGGCGGAUUGUUAAGUGAGGGGUGAAAUCCCGGGGCUCAACCUCGGAACUGCCUUUCAUACUGGCAAUCUUGAGUCCGGGAGAGGUGAGUGGAACUCCUAGUGUAGAGGUGAAAUUCGUAGAUAUUAGGAAGAACACCAGUGGCGAAGGCGGCUCACUGGCCCGGAACUGACGCUGAGGUACGAAAGCGUGGGGAGCAAACA
rnacentral:rRNA from 1 species